GAGUUUGAUCCUGGCUCAGAUUGAACGCUGGCGGCAUGCCUAACACAUGCAAGUCGAGCGGAUGAGGGGUGCUUGCACUCCGAUUCAGCGGCGGACGGGUGAGUAAUGCCUAGGAAUCUGCCUGGUAGUGGGGGACAACGUUUCGAAAGGAACGCUAAUACCGCAUACGUCCUACGGGAGAAAGCAGGGGACCUUCGGGCCUUGCGCUAUCAGAUGAGCCUAGGUCGGAUUAGCUAGUUGGUGGGGUAAAGGCUCACCAAGGCGACGAUCGCUAGCUGGUCUGAGAGGAUGAUCAGCCACACUGGAACUGAGACACGGUCCAGACUCCUACGGGAGGCAGCAGUGAGGAAUAUUGGACAAUGGGCGAAAGCCUGAUCCAGCCAUCCCGCGUGUGCGAUGAAGGCCUUCGGGUUGUAAAGCACUUUUGGCAGGGAAGAAACGGCGCUGGUUAAUACCUGGCGCAACUGACGGUACCUGCAGAAUAAGCACUGCCUUAUCAGGGGUGCCAGCAGCCGCGGUAAUACG
rnacentral:rRNA from 1 species